GGUACUGGUUUCUUGUAUUCGUCAUAUGAAUUUGGGGUUUGAGUUUUAUUUUAGGCUAUUCGGUUUUCUUGGUUUUGCUUCGUUGAUUUGGUUUUGUAUUGUUUCGUUGAUUUGGUUUUCUUAGUAUUUCUUCGAGGUUUUCUAGUUAUUGCUUCGUUGAUUUGUUGAUUUGGUUUUCUUAGUAUUUCUUCGGCGAUUCGAUUUUGUUGGUUUUGUUUCGGUGGUGAUUGAUGUGCUUCUUAUUACUUUAUUUUUUGAUGAAGUUUGUGUAGGGUUAUGGCGAAUUAUAUUAUGUUUUGCCAUCAUCGAUGGAUGAGGUGGUUUUGUCUGAUUGAAGAUCUCUGGAUUUAAUACCAAUUCUAUUUAUAAUAUUUUAUUCGACGGGGAGAGAAGACGGGCAAUGGAUGUCUGUGAAGUAUUAGGUUUUGUCACCCUUACAUCUUUUUUCACAUUGGUGUUUGUUGGUAUUUAUGUUGUUCCUUUUCAGCAAGUUCUGGAGUCUAUGACAUCUCUUUUGGCGGUUGAGUAUUUAGAGUUUGGUUGUUUGUUGUCAUAUGAAAUUGUUGUUUUGCUGGUAUUUGUGUUUAUUCCUUUUUCAGCUCGGAGUUUGAGACCUCUUUUAGCGGUUGAGGAUUUAUAGAUCAAGCUUAUAACGGUUUAGGAUAUCAUGAUAUCAUGGCUUGUCGAUGAGUUUCCUUUCUAUUAUUUAACUUUUCUGAACUUGAUCACCAAACAUGGCUUGAAUUGUGAAUUGUUGCUCUGCAGCGGUGUUUGGAUUAUUUUCAUUUAGUGUCGUGCAUCUCUUUGAGGUUGUUGUGAGCAUCUCUUGGACCAUGUUAUCAGCGACUCCCCUCAGUUUUUAAUUCCUAAAUUGAUCUAUUGUUCUGUUCUUCGUUCGUUUUAUAUUCUUAAAUAUCGUCUGCUAUUACAGUUAUAGAUUUGUUGUAUCGUUGUUCUUUACAGAGAUGUGUGGGGUAGGAUCGUGGAAAACAGUGGCAGAAGAUUCCUUGAACUGUGAAGCUUUAGUUCUUCUUUUACUCUUAAAUUAAUUUUUUCUUUUGCAUUUCAACUUGCUAGUUUGAUAUUUAUUUUCUUGGGCAUUACUAAAUUUACAGCGGAGGGUCAAAGAAUGUGCGGUUGUGAUCAUGACCACUAAUUGAUUAUGAUCUCUUGGCAGUCUUUAGGUUUCCGUCACCCUUACAUUAUUUGAUGCGUUUAUUUUUAAUGACGUAUAUAUCUUUGAUUUCGUAGUUUGUGUUCAUUUUUCUUUUAUCAUGUUCAUAUUGUUUGUAGAUUUGAAAUCACGUUUUAAUUGGCCAACAUUUUAGGAUAACUUGAUUUCUUCUUAAUUCUCUCUAUUUGAUUUUCUAACCAUGAUACAUACAUUAUCAUUUGCCAUUUGUUUCUUUGUAGUGGUGUUUGGAGUAUGUUUCAUUAUCUCAUCUAUCAUUUUGAGAGGAUGAUGUCUCCUUGUGAUUGUGUUUUUUUGUUUUGGUUUUGUCUAUGUACUUUCUUUUGAGUGAAAUCUAUCAAAUCUAACUGUUUGAUCUGUGAAUUAUGUUUAUUUCUUUUCAGCCCAUUAACGUUUGAGGAUUACAAAAUAAUACAAUGUUCAGGGCAGUAUAAUUUAUUCGACGAGUUUACUUUCCGUUAUUUAUUCGGACUUGAUCAUCAAAGUAAGAUUCACUUGCGUUAUGUUUCUAAUUGGAGUGACGUUUCUCCCUGGUCUGUGAUAUUUUGAGUGCAACAUUUCUCUCAUCCCAUUGUAGGAUUUUUUUUUAUAUUUUUUUCCUUCUUUGAAAAAUAAAUUCUAUAUUGUUCUGUUUUUAGAUGGAUAGAUGUAAGUGGGUUAUUGAAUUAUUCAUUUUCUAAAAUAGACUGUAACUUGUUUUAUCUGUUUAGAAUUUAAUCGGCACGAUUUCUGGGAA